GACGAACGCUGGCGGCGCGCUUAACACAUGCAAGUCGAACGGAAAGGCCUGCUUUCCCUUGUGGAUUGCGGGUACUCGAGUGGCGAACGGGUGAGUAACACGUGAGUGAUCUGCCCCCAACUUGGGUAUAAGCCUGGGAAACUGGGUCUAAUUCCCGAUCGGACUGCAGGGUGGUGCCUGUGGUGGAACACGAUUUUCUAGUGGUUGGGGAUGAGCUCGCGGCCUAUCAGCUUGUUGGUGGGGUAAUGGCCUACCAAGGCGGCGACGGGUAGCCGGCCUGAGAGGGUGGACGGUCACAGUGAGACUGAGAUACGGCCCAGACGCCUACGGGAGGCAGCAGAGGGGAAUAUUGCAGAAUGGGCGGAAGCCUGAUGCAGCGACGCCGCGUGGGGGAUGACGGCCUUCGGGUGGUAAACUCCUUUCGACCGAGAGGAAGCCACCUGGUUGGAAGGGUGGUGACGGUAGUGGUAGAAGAAGCACCGGCUAACUACGUG
rnacentral:rRNA from 1 species